UAAUAGGCUGCCCGCGUUAGGGAUAGCAGUGGAUAGCCCACAGCCUGACGAAGGAAGUGCGAGGACUUGUAGCGUAUAGCCCGACCCUUG
rnacentral:misc_RNA from 1 species